rnacentral:rRNA from 1 species
AAUUUUUAGAAGAUUGUUUUUAUAUAAAUUAUAGUAAAUUUGAGAAUUAUAUUAAACAUUUGGCGAAACUUGUGCCAGCUGCCGCGGUUAUACAGGUGAGUGGAGUUAAAAUGGUUAAUAUAAAUAAUAUUGUUGGGGGAUAUAAAUGUGAGAUUUUUAGGUGAAAUUAAAAUAUUAUGAAUAUCCUGUUAUGUUGAAUUUAUAAAUCUAAUUAAUAAACUAGGAUUAGAUACCCUAUUAUUUUAUAGAGGUGUUAGUAGUAGAUGAUUAUCAUGAAAUUAAAAGGAUUUGGCGGUGUUUUAAUUUAUUAAGAGGAAUUUGUCUAGUAAAGGAGAUGACGCCUGUAUCUUACUUAAAUUGAUAUUUGUAUACCGCUAUGUUGGUUAUAUUUUAUGAAAAUGGCUAAAGUUCAUAGAGAUGAAACAAAUUAGGUCUAGGUGCAGUUUAUGUUUAAGUUGUGAUGAAUUAUAUCAUGAAGGAAUAUGCAAGAUAGAAUUUGGAAUAUUUCUAUUAAGUAAGAUUUUAUAGUAAUAUAGGAACAUUAUGAUUAUAUGAAGUUAACACUAGAAUAUGUACAUAUCGCCCGUCGCUCUCAAUUUUGAGAUAAGUCGUAACAUAGUAAAAACACCUGAAGGUGUUUUUAA